GCAUUCCUACGGGGGGCAGCAGUGGGGAAUAUUGCACAAUGGGGGAAACCCUGAUGCAGCGACGCCGCGUGGAGGAAGAAGGUCUUCGGAUUGUAAACUCCUGUCCUUGGGGACGAUAAUGACGGUACCCAAGGAGGAAGCACCGGCUAAUUACGUGCCAGCAGCCGCGGUAAAACGUAGGGUGCAAGCGUUGUCCGGAAUUACUGGGUGUAAAGGGAGCGCAGGCGGAUUGACAAGUUGGGAGUGAAAACUACGGGCUCAACCCGUAACCUGCUUUCAAAACUGUCAGUCUUGAGUGGUGUAGG
rnacentral:rRNA from 1 species